rnacentral:lncRNA from 1 species
UGGGAGGCUAGCUUGAGCCCAGGAGACAGAGGCUACAGUGAGCUUCAUCAUGCCACUGUACUCCAGCCUGGGUAAGAGCAAGAGCGAGACUAUUUCAAAAAAAAUGAAAUUCUUUGUGACUUUUGUUCUCAACUUAGUAACUUUAAUGUGAUUUGACCCCUUCCAGUGGAAAAGGAAAUAAACCAAUAACCUUACACCAAUAACCCCACCUUUUCCUUCACAUCUGUCUCCCAACUUUUGUCAUGUUAUACCUGUAUUGUACUUACUUCGCCAAGGUGCUGUGACAUGUAUAUGGAUGAAUGAACAGUGUAGCAGUAUCAUCACAGGAGGGGAAGACAGACAAAUUAUAUUCUGGAAAUUGCAGUAUUAAGUGCCUUUUCCUCUCCUGAAUAUUAAAUUGAACUCUAUUUAAUGCAUUUUUAAACCAAACUUUUAAACGGACUGGUGAAUGUGCAAUGUUAGUAAUUAGAAGUUUUACCACAUGGAAAAUUUGUGGUUUUAAACUUUCUAAAUCAUGGUGACUUCAUUGAAAGCCAUUAGUUGCUAUUCUCUUAGGGCAGAUAAAAUGCGGCUGUGUUAGGAAAAACAUGUUACACUGUAAGGCAGAUGAUCGUCCCCGUAUGAUGAUUGUCAGAAGACAGGACUAAGUAGCAGAGAAUAGCUAAGA